CUACGGGAUGCUGCAGUAAGGAAUAUUGGACAAUGGAGGAAACUCUGAUCCAGCCAUGCCGCGUGAGUGAUGAAGGCCUUCGGGUUGUAAAGCUCUUUUAGGUGUGACGAUGAUGACGGUAACACCAGAAAAAGCCCCGGCUAACUUCGUGCCAGCAGCCGCGGUAAUACGAAGGGGGCGAGCGUUGCUCGGAAUCACUGGGCUUAAAGCGUACGUAGGCGGAUUAACAAGUCAGAAGUGAAAGCCCAGGGCUUAACCCUGGAAUUGCUUUUGAAACUGUUAGUCUGGAAUCCGGUAGAGGUUGGCGGAACUCCGAGUGUAGAGGUGAUAUUCGCAGAUAUUCGGAAGAACACCAGUGGCGAAGGCGGCCAACUGGACCGGUAUUGACGCUGAGGUACGAAAGCGUGGGUAGCAAACAGGAUUAGAUGCCCCAGUAGUC
rnacentral:rRNA from 1 species